rnacentral:rRNA from 1 species
CAGCCGCCGCGGUAAUACGAAGGGUGCAAGCGUUAAUCGGAAUUACUGGGCGUAAAGCGUGCGUAGGCGGUGAGUUAAGUCUGCUGUGAAAUCCCCGGGCUCAACCUGGGAAUGGCAGUGGAUACUGGCUCGCUAGAGUGUGUCAGAGGAUGGUGGAAUUCCCGGUGUAGCGGUGAAAUGCGUAGAGAUCGGGAGGAACAUCAGUGGCGAAGGCGGCCAUCUGGGACAACACUGACGCUGAGGCACGAAAGCGUGGGGAGCAAACAGGAUUAGAUACCCCAGUAGUCCUGUCUCUUAUACA